CAAUAGCGUAUAUUAAAGUUGUUGCGGUUAAAAAGCUCGUAGUUGGAUUUCUGUUGGGAACGACCGGUCCGCCCAUUGGGUGUGUAUCUGGCUUGUUCUCGGCAUCUUCUUGGUGAACGUUGCUGCACUUGACUGUGUGGAGCGCUACCCAGGACUUUUACUUUGAGGAAAUUAGAGUGUUUCAAGCAGGCAUAUGCCUUGAAUACAUUAGCAUGGAAUAAUAAGAUAGGACCUCGGUUCUAUUUUGUUGGUUUCUAGAGCUGAGGUAAUGAUUAAUAGGGAUAGUUGGGGGCAUUCGUAUUUAACUGUCAGAGGUGAAAUUCUUGGAUUUGUUAACGACGGACUACUGCGAAAGCAUUUGCCAAGGAUGUUUUCAUUGA
rnacentral:rRNA from 1 species